AUCGCUUCUCGGCCUUUUGGCUAAGAUCAAGUGUAGUAUCUGUUCCUCCAGGUUGAGGAUACCGAAGCCGGCAAACCCGAAGACCCGCCUGACCGAGGCGACGACUAGGGGUGCCUGGAACACACCAAUGUAUCUUACUCCCCAUGAUGGCUACCUUUU
rnacentral:snRNA from 1 species